UACAGAGGUGGCAAGCGUUGUUCGGAAUUACUGGGCGUAAAGGGCGCGUAGGCGGCCUACUAAGUCAGACGUGAAAUCCCCCGGCUUAACCUGGGAACUGCGUCUGAUACUGGAAGGCUUGAGGAUGGGAGAGGGGUGUAGAAUUCCAGGUGUAGCGGUGAAAUGCGUAGAUAUCUGGAGGAAUACCGGUGGCGAAGGCGGCAUCCUGGACCAUUACUGACGCUGAGGCGCGAAAGCUAGGGGAGCAAACGGG
rnacentral:rRNA from 1 species